GUUCGGGUUGUCAUGCCAAUGGCACUGCCCGGUAGCUAAAUGCGGAAGAGAUAAGUGCUGAAAGCAUCUAAGCACGAAACUUGCCCCGAGAUGAGUUCUCCCUGAGACUUUAAGUCUCCUGAAGGAACGUUGAAGACGACGACGUUGAUAGGCCGGGUGUGUAAGCGCAGCGAUGCGUUGAGCUAACCGGUACUAAUGAACCGUGAGGCUUAACCUUACAACGCCGAAG
rnacentral:rRNA from 1 species